UUCCGGUUGAUCCUGCCGGACCCGACUGCUAUCAGAGUGAGAUUAAGCCAUGCGAGUUAACGUAGCAAUACGUGGCGCACGGCUCAGUAACACGUAGUCAACAUGCCCAGAGGACGUGGAUAACCUCGGGAGACUGAGUCUAAACCGCGAUAAGUGAGGAUUUCUGGAAUGGUUCCUGACUAAAAUCUAUAUGGCCUCUGGAUUGGACUGCGGCCGAUCAGGCUGUUGGUGAGGUAAUGGCCCACCGAACCUGUAACCGGUACGGGCUCUGAGAGGAGGAGCCCGGAGAUGGGCACUGAGACAAGGGCCCAGGCCCUAUGGGGCGCAGCAGGCGCGAAACCUCUGCAAUAGGCGAAAGCCUGACAGGGUUACUCUGAGUGAUUUCCGCUAAGGGGAUCUUUUGGCACCUCUAAAAAUGGUGCAGAAUAAGGGGUGGGCAAGUCUGGUGUCAGCCGCCGCGGUAAUACCAGCACCCCGAGUGGUCGGGACGAUUAUUGGGCCUAAAGCAUCCGUAGCCGGUUCUGCAAGUCUUCCGUUAAAUCCAGCCGCUCAACGGAUGGGCCGCGGAGGAUACUACAGGACUAGGAGGCGGGAGAGGCAAGCGGUACUCAGUGGGUAGGGGUAAAAUCCUUUGAUCCAUUGAAGACCACCAGUGGCGAAGGCGGCUUGCCAGAACGCGCUCGACGGUGAGGGAUGAAAGCUGGGGGAGCAAACCGGAUUAGAUACCCGGGUAGUCCCAG
rnacentral:rRNA from 1 species